AACUUGUGUUAGGCAUGUGUCCGAAGUGCUGGAAGUCUCAGGAUGUCAAUGGCUUUCAGAUGUCAGGAUAACCGUAAGGAUAGAUGAAGGGUUGAGAUCCUGUGCCUCAUUUCUGAGUUCUCAGCUGCUAUGCCGUGGAAAUCCUGUUUACUUUCUGCAUCUCCUCCUGCAAGACUCUGGAGCCAGUCUUGAGGUCCUACAUCUGCGAAAGCAAGCUCUUCUAGAAGUUGAUAGCUUUCCAAUGAUUAGACGAAUUGAUUCUUUCUGUGACUCAUCAGUUCAUUUCCUGUAAAAUUCAUGUCUUGCUGUUGAUUUGUGAAUAAGAACCAGAGCUUGUAGAAACCACCUUAAUCAUAUCCAGGAGUUUGCAAGAAACAGGUGCUUAACACUAAUUCACCUCCUGAACAAGAAAAAUGGGCUGUGAUCGGAACUGUGGGCUCAUCGCUGGGGCUGUCAUUGGUGCCAUCCUGGCUGUGUUUGGAGGUAUUCUAAUGCCAGUUGGAGAUCUGCUUAUCCAGAAGACAAUUAAAAAGGUACAAGUAGUCCAAAGAAUAUGGCUUGUCGUUUUGAUUCAUUCUAACUUCUCUUUUUUUGCUUUGUAUUUACCUGCUUUAUAUUUCAUGGUAACUGCUAAUUUUGUAUCUUUGACAUGAAGGUAAUUAUGAACCACUGCAACUCUAUAUGAGGUGACUUUAUGUGAAAUGUUAGAAGUAUAACGUAUAUUUAACAUGACUCCGUUGCUAUCUUAAAUAUAAAUACCAAAUUCUAUUAAAAGCUGUCUACAGGUAUGCAUAUUAGUAGAAAUAAUUGUUUUAAGUUAUGUCCAAAGAGCAUGUUGGCAUGCUUUUGAAUAGGAAAUAACAGUAUAUUUUGUAAAAGCACAUUU
rnacentral:sRNA from 1 species